rnacentral:rRNA from 1 species
UACGUAGGUGGCAAGCGUUGUCCGGAUUUACUGGGCGUAAAGGGCGUGCAGGCGGUUUGUUAAGUCUAGGGUGAAAGCUCCCGGCUCAACUGGGAGAGGUCCUUGGAUACUGGCAGACUUGAGGGAGGCAGAGGAAAGUGGAAUUCCCGGUGUAGUGGUGAUAUGCGUAGAUAUCGGGAGGAACACCAGUGGCGAAGGCGGUUGCCUGGAGCUUUGCUGACGCUGAUGCGCGAAAGCGUGGGGAGCGAACAGG